rnacentral:rRNA from 1 species
GAAUCUUGCACAAUGGGGGAAACUCUGAUGCAGCGACGCCGCGUGAGCGAUGAAGCCCUUCGGGGUGUAAAGCUCUUUCGGCAGGAGCGAUAAUGUCGGUACCUGUAGAAGAAGCUGAGGCUAACUACGUGCCAGCAGCCGCGGUAAUACGUAGGCAGCAAGCGUUGUUCGGAGGUACUUGGCGUAAAGAGUGCGUAGGUGGUGCUCUAAGUUUGGUGUGAAAUCUCCCGGCUCAACUGGGAGGGUGCGCCGAAAACUGGGGUGCUGGAGUGUGGGAGAGGAAAGCGGAAUUCCUGGUGUAGCGGUGAAAUGCGUAGAUAUCAGGAGGAACACCUGCGGUGUAGACGGCUUUCUGGACCACUACUGACACUGAGGCACGAAAGCGUGGGGAGCAAACAGG